UACGUAGGUGGCAAGCGUUGUCCGGAUUUACUGGGCGUAAAGGAUGCGUAGGCGGAUGUUUAAGUGAGAUGUGAAAUACCCGGGCUUAACUUGGGUGCUGCAUUUCAAACUGGAUAUCUAGAGUGCAGGAGAGGAAAGUGGAAUUCCUAGUGUAGCGGUGAAAUGCGUAGAGAUUAGGAAGAACACCAGUGGCGAAGGCGACUUUCUGGACUGUAACUGACGCUGAGGCAUGAAAGCGUGGGGAGCAAACAGGAUUAGAUACCCUGGUAGUCCACGCCGUAAACGAUGGGUACUAGGUGUGGGAGUUGUCAUGACUUCCGUGCCGCAGUUAACACAAUAAGUACCCCGCCUGGGGAGUACGGUCGCAAGAUUAAA
rnacentral:rRNA from 1 species